UACGAAGGGUGCAAGCGUUAUCCGGAUUUACUGGGUUUAAAGGGUGUGUAGGCGGACUUUUAAGUCCGUGGUGAAAUCUCCGGGCUCAACCCGGAAACUGCCAUGGAUACUAUUUGUCUUGAAUAUUGUGGAGGUGGGCGGAAUGUGUCAUGUAGCGGUGAAAUGCUUAGAGAUGACACAGAACACCGAUUGCGAAGGCAGCCCACUACGCAACUAUUGACGCUGAGGCACGAAAGCGUGGGGAUCAAACAGG
rnacentral:rRNA from 1 species